rnacentral:rRNA from 1 species
UGGGGAAUAUUGCACAAUGGGCGCAAGCCUGAUGCAGCCAUGCCGCGUGUGUGAAGAAGGCCUUCGGGUUGUAAAGCACUUUCAGCGAGGAGGAAGGGCAGUGUGUUAAUAGCACAUUGCAUUGACGUUACUCGCAGAAGAAGCACCGGCUAACUCCGUGCCAGCAGCCGCGGUAAUACGGAGGGUGCAAGCGUUAAUAGGAAUUACUGGGCGUAAAGCGCACGCAGGCGGUUUGUUAAGUCAGAUGUGAAAUCCCCGCGCUUAACGUGGGAACUGCAUUUGAAACUGGCAAGCUAGAGUCUUGUAGAGGGGGGUAGAAUUCCAGGUGUAGCGGUGAAAUGCGUAGAGAUCUGGAGGAAUACCGGUGGCGAAGGCGGCCCCCUGGACAAAGACUGACGCUCAGGUGCGAAAGCGUGGGGAGCAAACA